CUAAAUGUGUUAGUUAGGCUAUAGGCCGCUAUAGCUUUUCUUAGCCUCUACAAACAUAAAACGCUAAAUGUCUUAACCCGCUAUUUUAAACACUGAGUGAGGUACACCGCGGCUGUAGGGUUGGAAGGUUUCAGGAAAUGAUGCAAGGGGCAUUCCAAAAGCAUGAGAUAGCUCUUCUCCUAUCAGUGCCUCGUCAUCUCAUUAACAUGUUGGCUGUUCACAAGAGCAAGGGGGCUGGGUUCCUUGCUGAGUUGAGUUAGCAUGGCAGGGUUGUCAUUCUUGGGGAAAGAAGAGAGACUGCCCAGGGCGCUCCGUGGUUCUCUACUAAUCAAUACGGUGGAAGAGUUGAACAACAACAAUUCGAGAUCAUAGGCUUGGAAGACUGAGACAACUGAUUGAUACUGAUCCGAAGCUAGUGAGUUUGAUGACUGCUUUGGAGCUGUGGAAAGUUCUAUGCAAUGAGAACCUUGCUAGAGAUGACGCUACGAGCCAAUGCGCUUUUGGAUGAAGAAUCAGCUAUUGAAGCACAAUUGCUUGAGACAUUAAAUAUUCUCAGUGAACAGCAGUCAUGCUUUGAGAGCAUUCGAGAGAAACUGCAGAGGUCCAAGGAUGGCGAAAUCAUAGAGAAGAUCAAGAGGUUGAAGGAAAAGUACGAGUGACAGUUUUCCCCGAAUCUUGAAUUAAUGACAACGUAGCUUCGCCCCUAGAUAGCAGACAACCAAAGUGACAGAUCCUCGGUGUGCCUGGUUCAAUCCCGUGCAGGAACCAAAGUUCCUGCUCCCUCCGUUUCAAAAUAAAUACAAUUCUAUGGUUCAAAAUUUAUCCAACAAAGAAUGCAAUUUUGACCUACCAAUCACAAAAGACAAAAGUCUCCAGAAACUUCUCCUAUAAAAGACAAGUCCUAGAAUUAUAUUUAUUUUGGAACAGAGAGAGCAUGAUUUUCGCAUCAGCUCAAAUCAAUGAGACAUCAGGCUCCUUAAAUGUUGAAGAGUAAAGGGAAUUCCUGAAGCAUCAUAAAUGCAAAAAGCUCGGUCAUCGAUGUAAAUAGGUAGAUAUCAAGUGCCAUAUCAUUUGUGAAAGCUACUCAAACUUGUUAGAAGGGUCCAGAGCCACCACAUGGU